CCAGACUCUAAAGCCACAGGAAGGAGAAACUUCCCAGUUUGUCACUGGUCUUUAGCACUAAUGAAACAUUUUAAUGCGAUUCAAGUCCAACUGAGAGAAAAGGAUCGCACCGCGAGACUCCGGAUUCUUGGGGAGGCCGCUUCUACCACCACAACUCCCUCCCCAGGGUCCCUGGUGUCACUGACCGAUUGAGGAUGAGCACCAAGUGCAGGAGGCCAAUGACAAAGACGGAGCACAGAUGCAGGAUCCUGAGCCCCUAGCCACUUGUCUUGGGGAUCUAGAAGUACAAUUCCUGAUUCAUGAAGACUCCAAAAUCUCCAGCCAUGGUCUCCUCUCUCUAUGGACCCAAAAUGCUUAUCACUUGAAGACCUACAAAUUCAGGCUCCAGUGCCCCCUUCCACAGAGACACAGAAACCUCCGCAGGGGACUCGGGCUGGGGUGGGGAUGGGGUGCCUCCUUGGCUGUGGGCAUCAGCCUUUCCCUGGGGCACAAUAAUGCUGCCCCCUCAUCCUUGGGGGCCUAAAGAGUCUGUAAAAAGGCUGGAUUUUCCCUGUUGCCAAAAGGGGAGACCUCUUCCCCUCUCUCUCUUCUUCAGCCAUUUCCCCGAGGAAACACAGUUUUCUGAGCGUCUGGA